UGUAGUCUAUACAUUUUGCGGCUUUAAUUCUGUGAGAAAGUUCACCAGAAUUAAUGAAUUCCUGUUAAGCUAUAUUUUAUUUCUGUAUUGUAACGCAGGCCAAUAAAUUGGAGAUGAAGAAAUUACAGGAGGAGCAACAGAGAAGGGAGCUGCACCAACAUGAUCUACAAAUGAUAAGAGAACAGCAACAACAAAGGCUUCAGAGGUCCAGCUCAGUUCCUAUGGCAGCGAGCAACUCCACACCAGCGUCAUCUUGGGAUAGGGGGCGCGAGUACAGGGAAGCCAGGAGGGCUGAGGAGCAGAAGGAACUGCAGCUGAGGAAAGCAGAGCAGCGCUUGAAGAGUGAAAUUUUGGAGGAAAAACAAAAACACGAGGAGGAGGACAGGAAGAGGCGAAUGGAAAGCGAACGUCUGCGGGUGAACUCGGCCUUCCUAGACAGACUGGAGGCGAGCGGAUCAGGUAGAGCGUCUGGGUCCCACCCCUGCACCCCGGAGGGUGGUAACAUCUGGAAGACGGAGGAACCACAAGACCCUGCCUCAUCCCCGAUGCCCUUCACAACACAGCUCCACAGUAUCAAGAAGGAGGAAGAGGAGGAGGAGGACGAGAAGAGGGAUGUGAAAGUGGAGGAGGAGGACGAGGAAGCCGAAUGUGAAUGGGCCGUGAUGAAGCUUCAGAAUGACUUCCCUUAUUAUGAGCGAGAUUUCCUCAAAGACAUUGUCUCCCAAUGUAACAACAAUUACAAGCAAGCUUAUGAUCUACUCAAUGUUUAAAGUAGACAACAAUGUUGGUACAGACUAUAAUAUAUAUAAUAAACUGACAUGCCAAAUAUCA
rnacentral:lncRNA from 1 species